AAGACACUAGUAGAGCCGAAUAUUACACUGCCUCGUCAAGGCAUAAUCGCGGGUUUAACUCCCGCGUGUCUUA
rnacentral:tRNA from 1 species